rnacentral:rRNA from 1 species
GAUGAACGCUGGCGGCGUGCCUAAUACAUGCAAGUCGAGCGAAUGGACUAAGAGCUUGCUCUUAUGAAGUUAGCGGCGGACGGGUGAGUAACACGUGGGUAACCUGCCCAUAAGACUGGGAUAACUCCGGGAAACCGGGGCUAAUACCGGAUAACAUUUUGAACCGCAUGGUUCGAAAUUGAAAGGCGGCUUCGGCUGUCACUUAUGGAUGGACCCGCGUCGCAUUAGCUAGUUGGUGAGGUAACGGCUCACCAAGGCAACGAUGCGUAGCCGACCUGGGAGGGGGAUCGGCCACAAUGGGACUGAGACCAGGCCCAGACUCCUACGGGAGGCAGCAGUAGGGAAUCUUCCGCAAGGGACGAAAGUCUGACGGCGCAACGCCGCGUGAGUGAUGAAGGCUUUCGGGUCGUAAAACUCUGUUGUUAGGGAAGAACAAGUGCUAGUUGAAUAAGCUGGCACCUUGACGGUACCUAACCAGAAAGCCACGGCUAACUACGUGCCAGCCGCCGCCGUAA